UACAGAGGUCCCAAGCGUUGUUCGGAUUCAUUGGGCGUAAAGGGUGUGUAGGUGGCGCCGUAAGUCGGGUGUGAAAUUUCGGAGCUUAACUCCGAAACUGCAUUCGAUACUGCGGUGCUUGAGGACUGGAGAGGAGACUGGAAUUCAUGGUGUAGCAGUGAAAUGCGUAGAGAUCAUGAGGAAGACCAGUGGCGAAGGCGGGUCUCUGGACAGUUCCUGACACUGAGACACGAAGGCCAGGGGAGCAAACGAG
rnacentral:rRNA from 1 species